rnacentral:lncRNA from 10 species
CACCUGCCACCAUGCCUGGGUAAUUUUUGUAUUUUUUAGUAGAGAUGGAGUUUCAACAUGUUGGCCAGGCUGGUCUCGAACUCCUGACCUCAGGUAAUCUGCCUGCUUCAGCCUCCCAAAGUGCUGGGAUUACAGGCAUGAGCCACUGCGUCCAGCCUGUAUUAACUCUUUUGAUCUAGAGCCCAACAACAACAACAACAACAACAACAACAACACACACACACACACACACACACACACACACACACACACACAGAAGCAGGGCUGGCACUGUUAUCCCCCUUCAGCACAGAGGAAGCCAGUUUUCCCAAAGAUGGGGGCUGAGUGGCUUUGCUGUUUUCAGCACUGAGCUACAGAACUGUCAGGAAUUCAAGAACAACAGACCUGGUCCCAGUUCCUUCUAUAGGUGCUCUUGAUCUAACUGGAGCUUCAUGGUGAUUACAUAGAAAGUCAUCAGAGGACCAUCAGUGGCCUUCCAAGCUGUGGUUACACACACACCAAGGGGUUUGUAGAGAUGAGUUUUGCAAAGGGAGUGGUUCUGGAGGAAAAGCAGAGCGUGGAGUGUCAGAGGGCGGUGUGUUGUGAAAUGCAUUAGCCCUAGAGACCCUCUGUAACUGGCCUUCCACGUACGCCUGCCGCCAACGACAACACUGAACCAUGCAAGCGGGGUGUUUGCCAGCUCACGAGCCUGGGAGACAUGGAGCUUCCACUAGCAGAGGAGGUGGAGGGAAAACAGAAAGAAAGAACUGAGUCUAGCAGCCUCCUUGGACGUUUCUUCGAACGCCUCCAGCCCAGCACAACAAACAACCUCAGGGCAUCAGGCCCGUGCUGCGCCCCAGCACACCCAGCUUUGCCCUGCUCCAAGAGCCCACAGAGGGCCUCGGGGUCACACUCAAGGAGCGUGCCUGGAAUCCAAAGUGCAUGCUGUGGUGGGGAUAUGGACAAGGGCAGAAAUAGCACCAAGCAAGGGAGGAUGAACUGGGUGAGAGGUGUGAGGAAACUGCCCAAGCGCUGACACCUGGGUAGAUUUUUAAAUGGCAAGAAAUCACAUAGACAACAUGGGGGCCAGGGAGAGGGUUGAGAGGUGAGGGCCUCACAGUAGAGGGCUUUCCAAGGGAGGAAAUAGCACGGGCAACGGCUGAAGCAUGCAAUGGUGUGGUGUGUGUGUGAGCAUGAAUGUAUGUGAGCAAGUAUGUGAGCAAGUGUGUGAGAGCAUUUGUGUGUGAGAGCAUGUGUGUGAACAUGUGUGUGAGCAUGUGUGACCAUUAAUGUGUGAUGUGAACAUGAGAGCCUGUAAGAAUGUGAUCAUGUGUGUAAACGUGUGUGACACGAGUGUGUGAGCAUGUGUGCACAUGUGUGAUCAUGAGUGUAUGUGCAUGUGUAUGAGCAUGAAUGUGUGUGCAUGUGUGUAGCAUGUUAGUGUGUAUGUGUUUAGCAUGUGUGUGUGAGCAUGGAUGUAUGAGCAUGUGUGAGAAAGUGUGCAUGAGCAUGAAUAUGAAUAUGUGAGCAUGUGUGAGCAUGAGUGUGUGACCGUGUGUGAGCAUGACUGUUUGCAAAUGUGUGUGAGCAUGAGUGUGUGUGCAUGUGAGCACUGAGUAUGUGAGCGUGUGAGCACGUGUGAACAUUAGUGAGCAUGUGUGUACACGUGUGCAUGUGGGAACAUCAGUAUGUGAGCAUGAGUGACCGUGUGUGUGUGCAUGAAUGAGCAUGAGUGUGUAUAUAUGUGUGUGUGUGAGCUUGAGUGCGUGAGCAUGUAUGUGCAUGUGUGAGCAUGUGAGUGUGUGAACAUGAGUGUGUGCCUGUGUGAGCAUGAGUGUGAGCAUGUGAAUAUGUGCAUGUGUGAGCAUGAGUAUGUGAUCAUGUGAGUGUGUAUGAGCAUGAGUGUGUUUAGUGAUACAUUUGUGAUUAUACAAAUGAUUUCAUGAUCUGCAAAGUCCAAUGGACAUUUUAACACUUCCCCUAUCAGCACAUCACACUUUAUUAAAGUUAUUUUGUACAGUCUUCCCACUAGAUUAUAAAAAGUCAUGUCUACCUUGAUCAACCUUAAGAAGACUUGAACAAGUGGACAUAUUCCGCCUUCCUAGGUGAAAAAGCUUGAUUUUGCAAAGAUAGAAACCUUCCCAGUUAAACUAUACUUUUUUAAUGUGGUUCCAAUAAAAAGUUCAAUGGGAUGAAUGAUUUUGUAAUGUGAUUCUAGAUUUAAAUUGUAAUUGUACUAGUAAAUAUAAGAAUAUUCAAGCCAAUAUUUUAAUAAAGAAUACUAUUUUAUCAUGUACAGCUGCCAUAAUGAAACAGAUGACGCACGACAGAUCAGAAUAAGAAAUUCAGGAAACAAAUUAAGGUACAUAUCAUAAUUCGGUUAUUAUGACGGCAUUUAAAACACCAAAUACAUGGUGGCAAAAUAGCUGACUAAUCAUUUGGGAAACAGCCUGGGCAGGCGCCUCUGCUGCGUUCCCACCGUCAGGCGGCAGAACACGCAGGGAGUCACCGGGGUGCCUACUAGUUCUCCCACUGAUCCUGAAGCUGGGUGAGAGCAGAGACCAGCUAGUGUUCAACUCCCUGUCCCCAUCAUUCCAUGUGCCUUCCACAGAGGAUGCACUAAAUUCUCGCUGAAGGAAUAAAUGGCAUUUGAACCUCUUCAUGGUAUCGUUUGGGCCUCGGAGGCACACAACUCUUAGAUAGCUGCCCUUUAUGGCAGGUCACAAGUGAUGCAUGUCUGAGCUGAGAAGUCGACGUCCCACUUCUCCUUCAUUUUCUUGGCCAUCCCUGAAGCCAUGCUAGGUCUAUGCUAGAAUCCUAGUGAAACUUUUGCUCACUCAAUAAGCACAAAUAAUAAUAAUGUAAAUAUUUACAACCUUCUGACUAAAGUGUCCACAUUUUUCCUGGAUGUUAUGGAUCUAUUAUAGAAGUAUAUGUAUAAUAUAAUCUUAGUGGAAAUUUUGAAUAGAAGAUGUAGAGAAAAUAACUAAGAAUUUGCACAGUAAUUUACAUGGUUAUUUUUUUCUUACGUGACCAGUGAGCGAACUAAGCCUGAUUGAUAAAAAUGAGAUGAGGUGACAGAUCUCAUGGUUGUAAAUGAAAACAUUGUGAUUCAAACUCAAGUGACUGACUCUGAAAUACGUUUCUUUUUCAGCGGAAGCAUUGCUGCUAGAAUAAAUCAGUCAUUACUGAUCCAUGUCUUAGUCUGUUUGGGCUGCUAUAACAAGAAUACCUUAGACUGGGUAAUUUAUAAGUAAUAGAAAUUUAUUUCCCACAGUUCUGGAGGCUGGGAGGUCUAACAUCAAGGUGCUCACAGAUUGGUGUUUAGUGAGGGCUCCUCUCUCCUUCCAAUAUGCAGGCACCUUCUCACUGUGUCCUCGCAUGGCAGAAGAAAAAGGGCAGAAGAAAAGCCCUUUUUAAAGGGAGUUAAACUCAUCCAUGGGGGCAGAGCCCUUAUGACCUAAUUACCUUCCAAAAGCUUCAUCUCUUAAUACCAUAACUUUGGGGUUUACAUACCAACAUAUGAAUUUUGGAGGGACACCAACUUUCAGGCUGUAAUGACCCAUGUCAACAAAGGAAUAACAGUGUAUUUGAAAUAAUGUAAUUAUUACUUUCGGUAUCCAUCAGCCCCACAAAUAUGAUUAGAAGUAUAGCCCCACAUUAGCACCACAAAUAUGAUUAGAAGUUUGAAACCUCUGGCAUUUGGUCUUGUUUUAUGUAAGUUUUCUACAUGAAAAUAUUUGAGAAAAAUAAGAUACAUUCUGUCUCUCAUAAAACAAAUUUUAUAUGGGUUUAAGAAAUCAACCACACAUAGCUGAGAAAAAACUAACAUUACUAAAAUGUUUAAACGAUUUGAAUUUUUUGUAAUUACAUAAGUAAUAUAUCUUCAGGUUAGAAAAUAUUAAAAAGAUAAAGAUAAGAAAAGAUAAUAAGUCUCACAUAAUCCUGCCACCAGUGAUAACUGCAGGCAACAUUCUGGUACAUGUGGAACAAAUACAUGUUGAAUGAAAAAAUGAAUUUUCUUCCAUCUUUGUCCUAAGUAUGUAUGUGUAUGUUGUUUACACAUUGAACUCAUAUCACGUUAAGUUCUCAGGCUUUUCUUUUUCCAUGCAACAUCAUAUCUCAAGCGUAGCAAUGUGAAUUGCAGUCUACAGCUUAGGAAAGUGAGAAAUAGAACUUUCCUUUUCUUAUCACACUUAUUUCUAUUUUAGCCCCCAUCUGACAAGGCAGCAGCAGAUUCAUCUGAUCAGUUAAAGCAUUCUCUGUCCUGAUAGUUGUCUAUUGCCGAGGGCAGUAGAGGCAGGAAGGUCACUGAGGCCCUAGAGCUUCCUCCCCCAGGGUUCAGGGCCUGUCUGGUGUCACUGUGAGUCCCCUUCUCCCUGAGGUUGUAGGCAAAGACCAGGGCACUGGGGCGCUUGGUCCUCUCAGACCUCUCAGGAUUCAGGGCACAGGGUCCUUCUGAUGGGAUCUGCUGAUGUACCCUAGAAAACAAUGCUACCGCAAUGAGCUUUCUAUGAAAUCUGUCAGAAGUUCCAUUAUUUCCUAUGGUAGAUUCAGAAAGUGGAAUUACCAAGUCAAAGGCUUAAGGCUCUUGAUACACAUAUCAAAUUGCUCUCCAGAGCACACCAACCUAAUUUUCAGCAUCAAGUUGUGACUGCAGCUGCUUAGAGCAGCCUAGCAGGCAUGAUCAUUCAUGGCAGCCUUUCUUCAGCUCCUCCAAUACAUUUCGACGAAGACAUGAUUUUUGUCUGUUCACCUGCAGAGUUCCAUUUCUUUCAGUUAGAAGGUCAACUGUUAUUGAGAACUCAUUAAAUGCAAAGCUUGUAUAAUUGGAAAAACUCCAAGCCUCAGUUUUUCAUCUUCAAAAGAGGUAUUAGGUUGAAGCACUUACUUAAUUGAGGCUUUUGCCAUUACUUUUGAUGGCAAAAACUGCAAUUCCUUUUGCACCAAAAUUACUUUUGUGACCACCCCGCCUGCCCCCACCACGCUCACGAGAGAGAGUUCAGGAUAGGGCAUGUUCUAACUGAUGAGAUGAAUCUGCUGCUGCCCUGUCAGAUGAGGGCUAAAGUAGAACAGAUCUGGACUCCUCUGCAAAAAUGAGGGCAGAGGCCACUGGCAGGGACACAGAGGACCCCCCGAUUCUCUCUACAAAACUUGGUCACUGGGAAGGUUGGCGGCUAUGGAAACCCCACAAAAUCUUCAUGCAGAGCAUUCUUAAAGUCCACCUAAUCCCAAGCCUUCCUGUUACAGAGGAGGAAACAGCAGAGCCAUAAGGUGACCAUGAGUCAGGGGUGCAGCCUGGCCUGGACCACUCUCCUCCUGGCCCGGAUUCUUUCCAUCCACCCUCACAGGGGCUUGGCCUCAGCCAGGAGCUCUGGGCUUCCUAUUGCCAGUCCUCAGACAGGGGCCCUGGGCUGCCAUAUUCACCCCCUCAUCCCAGGGGUCACACUGCUCAGGCCACCUAGACCACCUCUUAGGACAGCUGGCCCUCAUCCCUGUCCCGGGACAGGUAGGAGCGCAGCAGAAGGGCCGCCGGACUCUUCAGAACUUUUCUCUGCACCGGGCUCAGAUGUCCGUCCCAGGCAAGAGCAGGAUCCUGUCUCCCUGUUCAGGUUGCGACAUUUCCUGCUUUCCAUUAAUUACAUCUAAGUGGAGCGUUUAAACAAUUAAAAGAAUUUCUAGCACCACUCCUGGCUUAACACUGUUUACCUCUUGUUUAACAUACUGAUUUGGAUUUAGGGUGGUUUAUUAAAAAGGCUUUUCCUCAGUGACAGUUCCCUUUGGGCCCUGUCACCCAGUUUCUUGACCAGCUCUGAAGGACUCUGGAGGCCUCUGUGUGAUGCUAAACAAUUUACACACACACACAAACACAAAACAUGAGUGCUCCAGUAUUUUUAACCUUGGGAAGUUUUGGUUUAUGACAUUGUGACGUUUUUAUUUUGUGCCAUUUUUUCUUAAUGGGGGAGAAAACAAAUACUUCUUGGCUCCCUAUAAUAGCACAGGCAUUAUAACAAGUACUUUCUGAGCCUUCUGUCCUUUAUUCCUUGCAACCAUCCUUAUUGUACCCAUUUUACUCACAAGGAAACCAAGUCAUAAGGCCAAUAAACAGCAAAAACACGGCUGAAGUCCAGAUCCAACUCCAGGCCUGCAUCCUUACCUCUGUGUGGCAUUGCAGCUUCUAGGGUUGUUAUCUUCGGGCCUUUGGCCCCCGCCUUUUUUUUUUUGGAGAGAGUGUAACGUUCUGUUACCCAGGCUGGAGUGCAGUGGCACCAUCUCAGCUCACUGCAACCUCUGCCUCCUGGGUUCAAGUGAUUCUCGUGCCUCAGCCUCUCCAGUUGUGUCCAGGGUUAGUUCCUGCCAGUGGGUUCGUGGAGGGUUCCUGGCCUCGCUGACUUCAAAAUGGAGCCACGGACCUUCCCGAUUAGAAAAUGGCAGCGAGUUGCAGGUCAAAAAAGAGAUGAAGGUGAGAUCAGGAUGUCAACACAGGAAGGCAGAAUGUGCCCUCAGCAGGCCCCACAGGGGUAAUGCUGCAUAGACAACAGAGCCGAAAGUGUGGAAGAUAUACUGAGUACCAAAACUGAAUUUUAGAAAAUACAAAGAUAAAUUAGAACAUUGUGCUCAGUCUAUCAGGAUGCAAUUUAUUAAAGACAAAAUUAAACUCCAUUUGAAUCAAGACAAUGACUGUGCCCCACACUGUCUCCCCCUGACCUCUGUGUGUUCAGGCAGACAGGAUGAUGGAGGGACUGGCUCUUUCUGAUGUCUGAGGAAUCUUGGAAGUCCUGGGAACAUUUAGCCUGGAGAAGAGGAGAAUUCACAGAAUGCUGGCUGCUGUCACAAGUCUGAAGAGCUGUCAGCAAGAGGAGGGACUGACAUCAGGACCCGCAGAGGAAGAGACCUGCUUCCACCCAGUCUAACAAACAACCUCCUGGAGAAACAACCACGCAGGUGGUCAGGAGCGCAGGCUCCAAAGUGAGACAGACCUGGGCUUAAAUGCCCCCUCCACCUCCUAACCUCUGAAUAUGAGUCCCUCCUGCGUGUGAAAGAUGAGGAUGCAGCAGCUCCCUCAGAAUUCCCAAAGCAUUCGAUGAGAGGUGCACUACAGGGGCUCAGAAAUGCCAGACAAAGUCAGUGCUAGACUGUCAGCUGCUGUGAGAUUAUGAUCUCUCUUCGGCAGAGCUGCCCAGGAAGCAGUGCCUGUUUCCAGAAGAGCCUUCCAAAGUUGAGGCUCUCCAUUUCCAGUUAAGCUAAUUUAGGAAGAUUGCACAAGUGGAAACACCACAUGCGACUAACUGCAUGAUUAAUAAGAACAUGUUGACUUAAGUUCUUGAUUGCCAAAUGGAUUUUUGCCUUAUAAAUAUUUUUGAAUGGAUUAUCACUGAAAUCUUGGGGUUCAGUCAGAAGACUACUGUCUAAAUUUUUUCUGUAUUUCUUUUGGGGUCGUGAUUUGAUCCAGGGUGUGGCCAAAUCUACAUCGUUGAAUAGUUCUACGAAGCUCCCCGGGUGUUACUGGGGAUGUUGACUCAACAUUUUCAUGGUUUUCAGUUUUUAUGGUCAUUCGUGUAAAAUGGGGCUCAAGUGUUUGUCUUUUCCACUUGAAAAACUCAUCAUUGGUUUGUGGUAACUAAGUCAUUUAUUCUUCAUAGAAUGAUGCUGAGAAAGAAAAAACUGUGACAACAGUCAUGGAUAUUAAUGAAUGAGCAUGAACUUAGCCCAUUUGCAUUCUGAAGUAUGGAGCGUGGGAGAAACAGUGACUUGCUGCUCCGCAGGGGACCGUUAGCUUACUCUCCGACGUGUUUUUGCUGUUGUUGUUUCUUUCUUCGUUUUUAACAUUUUUUGGUUUAGUACUUUAUAAUGCAUAUUUUGAAUUAAAAAAUGAAUUACAGAGUGGCUAUGUCAGAAGAACUGAGGGUCUUUGGACUUUUUUUUUUUUUUAAUAAUUGCAGACUCAACUGUGAAAUUGCUGCUUACAUUUCCUUCAGAAAUAAUGAACUCCUGUGACAGUGACUUUGAAUGUGUCUUUAACACACUUGACUUAAUGAGAUCCCUUUUCUGGAGGAUAUAAAAUGUUCCCCAGAGAUGUAAUGUCACCACUAGGGGAUAAUCUAAUGUCCUAAAAGGGCUAAUUAUUUCCCCUAAAACAUUACAACAAACUCAUUACUGUAAGGACAACCCUAUGAACUCUUUAAAAGAUGAUGAAAAUGACAGCACCGAGAAGGGAGAUGGUCCUACUCUUUGGGGUAAUAAACGACAUUCAGAGUUAGAAUCCUUUGACAAUCAAAUAUUUUUUAAAACUUUUUUAAAAUUAUACUUUAAGUUCUAGGAUACAUGUGCAGAAUGUGCAGGUUUGUUACAUAGGUAUACAUGUGCCAUGAUGGUGUGCUGCACCCAUCAACCCAUCAUCUCGGUUUUAAGCCCUGAAUGCAUUAGGUAUUUCUUCUAAUGCUGUCCCUCCCCUUGCUCCCCACCCCCUGACAAGCCCCAGUGUGUGAUGUUCCCCUCCCUGGGUCCACGUAUUCUCAUUGUUCAACUCCCACUUAUGAGUGAAAACAUGCGGUGUUUGGUUUUCUGUUCCUGUGUUAGUUUGCUAAGAAUGAUGGUUGCCAGCUUCAUCCGUGUCCCAGUAAAGGACAUGAACUCAUUCAUUUUUAUGGCUGCAUAGUAUUCCAUGGUGUGUCUGUGCCACAUUUUCUUUAACCAGUCUAUCAUUGAUGGGCAUUGGGUUGGUUCCAAGUCUUUGCUAUUGUAAAUAGUGCUGCAAUAAGCAAGCA